rnacentral:rRNA from 1 species
GACGAACGCUGGCGGCGUGCUUAACACAUGCCGGUCGAACGGAAAGGCCCUGCUUUUGUGGGGUGCUCGAGUGGCGAACGGGUGAGUAACACGUGAGUAACCUGCCCUUGACUUUGGGAUAACUUCAGGAAACUGGGGCUAAUACCGGAUAGGAGCUCCUGCUGCAUGGUGGGGGUUGGAAAGUUUCGGCGGUUGGGGAUGGACUCGCGGCUUAUCAGCUUGUUGGUGGGGUAGUGGCUUACCAAGGCUUUGACGGGUAGCCGGCCUGAGAGGGUGACCGGCCACAUUGGGACUGAGAUACGGCCCAGACUCCUACGGGAGGCAGCAGUGGGGAAUAUUGCACAAUGGGCGGAAGCCUGAUGCAGCAACGCCGCGUGCGGGAUGACGGCCUUCGGGUUGUAAACCGCUUUCGCCUGUGACGAAGCGUGAGGGACGGUAAUGGGUAAAGGAGCACCGGCUAACUACGG